rnacentral:tRNA from 1 species
GGGGGAAUAGCUUAGUUGGUUAGAGUAUUGGCCUGUCACGCCAAAGGUCGCGGGUUCAAGUCCCGUUUUCCCCG